rnacentral:lncRNA from 1 species
UCAAGUCUCUCUAAGACUCGUCUUGGUUACAGCAGUUUCUCAGACUUUCCUUCCUUUUGCUGACCUUGACAGUUUUGAGGAGUAUGGGAACCAUCUGGCGAUAGAUGACACGUGUGGGCUUAACAGAGAGUGGGUGGCCAAGAAGCUACAAAGAUCCUGCGUGCGGGCAUCUGUCGUCCCAGGCUGCCCAUGCAGAGGUGGAGCCUCAGGUCAGCUGGCGCGUCAUGGAAUGGAGGCUCCCACAUAUACCCCGAUAGCUGUCCAUUUUACCUCAACCUUUGGCUACCCUCACAGCCUCUACCAGGAUUGGCCCAUCAAAAACUCUGUAUUUCUGAAGAACACACAGCCCCCAAAGCCAGAGCAGCC